rnacentral:rRNA from 1 species
UNUGACUUGAGUGCAGAAGGGGAGAGUGGAAUUCCAUGUGUAGCGGUGAAAUGCGUAGAUAUAUGGAGGAACACCAGUGGCGAAAGCGGCUCUCUGGUCUGUCACUGACGCUGAGGCUCGAAAGCGUGGGUAGCGAACAGGAUUAGAUACCCUGGUAGUCCACGCCGUAAACGAUGAGUGCUAGGUGUUAGGCCCUUUCCGGGGCUUAGUGCCGGAGCUAACGCAAUAAGCACUCCGCCUGGGGAGUACGACCGCAAGGUUGAAACUCAAAGGAAUUGACGGGGGCCCGCACAAGCGGUGGAGCAUGUGGUUUAAUUCGAAGCAACGCGAAGAACCUUACCAGGUCUUGACAUCCCGAUGCUAUUCUUAGAGAUAGGAAGUUACUUCGGUACAUCGGAGACAGGUGGUGCAUGGUUGUCGUCAGUUCGUGUCGUGAGAUGUUGGGUUAAGUCCCGCAACGAGCGCAACCCUUAUUGUUAGUUGCCAUCAUUAAGUUGGGCACUCUAGCGAGACUGCCGGUAAUAAACCGGAGGAAGGUGGGGAUGACGUCAAAUCAUCAUGCCCCUUAUGACCUGGGCUACACACGUGCUACAACGGUCGGUACAACGAGUUGCGAGCCGGUGACGGCAAGCUAAUCUCUGAAAGCCGAUCUCAGUUCGGAUUGGAGGCUGCAACUCGCCUCCAUGAAGUCGGAAUCGCUAGUAAUCGCGGAUCAGCACGCCGCGGUGAAUACGUUCCCGGGCCUUGUACACACCGCCCGUCACACCACGAGAGUUUGUAACACCCGAAGUCGGUGAGGUANCCUUUUAGGG